GAUGAACGCUGGCGGCGUGCCUAAUACAUGCAAGUCGAGCGAACGGACGAGAAGCUUGCUUCUCUGAUGUUAGCGGCGGACGGGUGAGUAACACGUGGAUCACCUACCUAUAAGACUGGGAUAACUUCGGGAAACCGGAGCUAAUACCGGAUAAUAUUUUGAACCGCAUGGUUCAAAAGUGAAAGACGGUCUUGCUGUCACUUAUAGAUGGAUCCGCGCUGCAUUAGCUAGUUGGUAAGGUAACGGCUUACCAAGGCAACGAUGCAUAGCCGACCUGAGAGGGUGAUCGGCCACACUGGAACGGAGACACGGUCCAGACUCCUACGGGAGGCAGCAGUAGGGAAUCUUCCGCAAUGGGCGAAAGCCUGACGGAGCAACGCCGCGUGAGUGAUGAAGAUCUUCGGAUCGUAAAACUCUGUUAUUAGGGAAGAACAUAUGUGUAAGUAACUGUGCACAUCUUGACGGUACCUAAUCAGAAAGCCACGGCUAACUACGUG
rnacentral:rRNA from 1 species